AUUGAACGCUGGCGGCAGGCUUAACACAUGCAAGUCGAGCGGAGCGAGGGUGCUUGCACCUUAGCUUAGCGGCGGACGGGUGAGUAAUGCUUAGGAAUCUGCCUAUUAGUGGGGGACAACAUUCCGAAAGGAAUGCUAAUACUGCAUACGCCCUACGGGGGAAAGCAGGGGAUCUUCGGACCUUGCGCUAAUAGAUGAGCCUAAGUCGGAUUAGCUAGUUGGUGGGGUAAAGGCCUACCAAGGCGACGAUCUGUAGCGGGUCUGAGAGGAUGAUCCGCCACACUGGGACUGAGACACGGACCAGACUCCUACGGGAGGCAGCAGUGGGGAAUAUUGGACAAUGGGCGGAAGCCUGAUCCAGCCAUGCCGCGUGUGUGAAGAAGGCCUUUUGGUUGUAAAGCACUUUAAGCGAGGAGGAGGCUCUUAAGGUUAAUACCCUUGAUGAGUGGACGUUACUCGCAGAAUAAGCACCGGCUAACUCUGUGCCAGCCGCCGCAGUAACAC
rnacentral:rRNA from 1 species